rnacentral:rRNA from 1 species
UACGAAGGGGGCUAGCGUUGCUCGGAAUCACUGGGCGUAAAGGGUGCGUAGGCGGGUCUUUAAGUCAGGGGGGAAAUCCUGGAGCUCAACUCCAGAACUGCCUUUGAUACUGAAGAUCUUGAGUCCGGGAGAGGUGAGUGGAACUGCGAGUGUAGAGGUGAAAUUCGUAGAUAUUCGCAAGAACACCAGUGGCGAAGGCGGCUCACUGGCCCGGUACUGACGCUGACACGCGAAAGCUAGGGGAGCGAACGGG